UUUGCCUGUACUACGUACGUUAUAACUGGUUCCACUGGCCGAUGUGCUUCGUGUGCCACUGUUGGGUUGUGGAGAAGAAAAUACCGUUCUCUGGCCGGAGACGUGGUGUGAAGCUCUGGAAUCCAGAUACCAAGGUGCUGCAAGAUCAAUAGUCUCUAUGAGAUUGGUUUCGGCGAAGCAGGCGUCGAGCACCUGGGUAGCCAAUAGUGUUGCGUCAAAAUUAUCGAUGCCUUUCGGUUCUAGAGAGUCAUGAGGUGGAUCGCUCUCGAAGUAUUUCUCGAUGUUAUUCACAUGGCUCCCAAAUGUGUUAUUGCUGCGCUCCUACUGUAAUCUGAGUUCUAGUGAUUCUGAUUGUUUCAUCACAGUUUUGAUACAGUGAUGGAACAGUGAUACACAGAAGACUAGAGGGAGCAAUAGAGAAGUUCAAUUAACAAUGCUUCGAUACAAGUGUUAAGUUGUACGAGAGUUCUGGUGACGACGAACAGACAUGCUAUCAAUAGAAGCAUGGAAUAAAUCCCUAUCGAGAAACUACUGCUAACUUUUUGUGUCUCUGAUGAUGGAAUUUUGGGUGAAUCUCUUGUUCGUCUCUGUCGACCAAACUGUGCUAGAGUCAGGGUUGCAAUGAUUUGAUUUGCUGUUACUAGAGCGAUUAAUGAGAAAGUUUCCGAAUAGUAUUUCGGUUAGAAGGUUCUGUCGUGCUAGACAGUAAAUCGGAGCGCUUAGGCUUAGAUCGUAUUCCUCACUAUCAAGUUCCUGGCUGAGGUGGAUUCUUCGAGGGCGAGGAGUGUUGGUGCUACCGUUGAACGUCUGCCUAGCGUUGAUGAGACGUCGGGGGAUCAACCCCUCCACAACCUGACCAAGGAUAUCUUUAUCGCGGUAAGUUUGUUUCAUUCAUGCAAAGGAUGCUUGCUCUUUGAAUCUAUCUGAGAAAAUUGAUUGGCUGAGCAUGAUACUGACCUUCAGAGGCGUGGAAUUAGUUUUCUUGAGCCGGUCAGUAGCACCUGGUUUCAGUUUGUCAAUUUGGUUUUCAAUUUUCUUUCUACCAUUAUUCUAUUUUCAAUUGACAUUUCCACAGUUGAAGGAAGAAAACUGCAUUUCAGUUCCUGAUUCUUGAGUUUUGUGGCUAUGGGAGGCUUCGCUGUUACUACAAUCCAAAUGGUUCUCGGAGAUUCUUUUUCCAAGCGCUCCUUUCAUGCCCCCUGUUCUACACUCAGUCUUCGAGAGAGGAAGAAUGCCUCCGACGAGUAAUUGAAAAUAUCCAUUUAAAGCUCGAUUCCAGUUACACAACAGGUGGUGACAUAAGCUCGACUGACUCAGCAGCUUAUGAAAAUUAUAACCGACGUUACCCUUGGUGCGCUGCUAUUUGAGGGCUUGAAUCUUCCAGUGGCAGCCCGAAAUCUUGCAGAAACCAAUACGGGGCGACGAGCCUCGCGCCUCAAGAUGCAUGUCGUGUUGCGUUUUAAGCUGCAGAGUUCUCCCGACAUCCAAUCUGCGGGGGAAAUGGCCAAUCGCAUCGGCACCAGCCAUCACUAAUUUCACUUCAUCGUCCAGAUCCUUCACGAUCCACUUCCUCUAAGUUCCUAACAAGAAAUCAUUUCACCACGAACGAUUUCACGGAGUCAAGGUGCUUCACUUACGCGGUUGCGUGAGAGUCAACAAGACUACCUCUGGUUGGGGAUCUGGAAGCUCGUGUUUCCUUCUUUGACAAGGAUUUCACGGAGAUUCUCAAGAUGAUCGACUCUGCGAAGAAGAUGAUUACCAAGGAUCAUAGAAAAGUUGAAAAUUUUGCGUGACGGAAAACCGUCGAUCAAAAAGAGAACCCAUGCUUGCACAUUGCGUUUGAAUACACCCUGCAUAAUAUGUUCCUCUUUCUCCCUGACAAUCUCAUCCAAAUGCAUUCUAAAGUUCUUUUCGUCACCCAACUGUUUCUGUUUGGCGCUUUUGUUCAGUUUUCUACAAGAUGGUUCGAUAAUCACAGGCUUUGUGUUGGUGAGGUGAAAUUAAGCCUCUCGAAUGUUUCUCUUAUGUGCAUUUUUGACCGGCAGAAGGAGCACUCCAACAACGGCGUCGGCUAAAGCUGGAUCGGUGGUCUGAUGCCAUGCCAUGGUCUCAGACAUUCCUCUACCUCUUCCCACUUGUUGGAUAUCGAACCACCAUUUUGCAUGCUGCUAUGUGUCCGAAAUUUGCCGAGCCACGAUCUGGUAUGCAGAUUCUGUUUGAGGAAUGACGGGCUAAAUUAUGCUGCCUCGUCCUUUGUGUCGGAAAUCCAAGUGACUAAUCAGAUGAAUAAGCACGCGAAGCUCAUAUUUAUCCUUUCAACACGCCUCUCACCGAAAACGCAAAAUACUACCGGGAAUCUUCGAGCCUCCUCACAACCCGUAGUUAUUAUUUCUAGAGGAAACUCUCAUCGAGGGGAAUCUGUGUACCUCAUGACAGCAAUUCGUUAGGAUGGCCGUCCGGAUCUCUUCAAUGACGUGCAGCAUGGUUCGAGACAUGGGCCAAUAACUUGGAUCCUUUUGGUAGAGCAGCAUUGGGAUUCCACUUUGCAGUCUACGCUUACAAAAAUCCUACGCAAUGUGCACCAGCAACUGAAACCAACGUCUCAGUUUGUCACGAAAUCGACCACGCACUCUCUAAGAUCAAGCCUGCAUCGGACGCCUACAUUCUGGAAUCCCAAUCGGUGCAUCACAUCCCAAUGGAACUCGCCCUGGGAGCUCUACAUGUAUUUAACAAAAUGGCAGCAUUCAGAGUCUACAUCAGAGUAGGAUCCUAACCACCUGGGCCUUCAUGUGAAACCUAGAGCUUCGAUAGCAACUUUGCGCCUUGAAAAAAUAUUACAAUCUCAAGCUAGAUAGAAUAUUUUAACAAGACGAAAUGAAGAGGAUAUUCGACUAAAAGUUUAACAAUCUUCCAUAAUUACAAAGCUCUACUUGACUCUCAGCUUUGUUCUAGUUCCUGACGCGUCAAGAUGGGUGUAGAGUCCAGUGAAAGACGUGCAGAGCGUGUGGGGAAGGAAAUUCUUAUGAGCUUGCAUCUCACAGUUUGAGCUAUGGUGGUGAGAGAACAUCUUUACAAACUUCUCUUGAACUAGAACAAAGCUGUUUCUUCGUUUUCA